CCUACGGGAGGCAGCAGUGGGGAAUAUUGCACAAUGGGGGAAACCCUGAUGCAGCGACGCCGCGUGAGCGAUGAAGUAUUUCGGUAUGUAAAGCUCUAUCAGCAGGGAAGAAAAUGACGGUACCUGACUAAGAAGCCCCGGCUAACUACGUGCCAGCAGCCGCGGUAAUACGUAGGGGGCAAGCGUUAUCCGGAUUUACUGGGUGUAAAGGGAGCGUAGACGGCGAUGCAAGCCAGAUGUGAAAGCCCGGGGCUCAACCCCGGGACUGCAUUUGGAACUGUAUAGCUGGAGUGUCGGAGAGGCAGGCGGAAUUCCUAGUGUAGCGGUGAAAUGCGUAGAUAUUAGGAGGAACACCAGUGGCGAAGGCGGCUUGCUGGACUGUAAAUGACGCUGAGGCUCGAAAGCGUGGGGAGCAAACAGGAUUAGAUACCCUGGUAGUC
rnacentral:rRNA from 1 species